GCGGCGGACGGGUGAGUAACACGUGGGCAACCUGCCCGCAAGACCGGGAUAACUCCGGGAAACCGGAGCUAAUACCGGAUAACACCGAAGACCGCAUGGUCUUCGGUUGAAAGGCGGCCUUUGGGCUGUCACUUGCGGAUGGGCCCGCGGCGCAUUAGCUAGUUGGUGAGGUAACGGCUCACCAAGGCGACGAUGCGUAGCCGGCCUGAGAGGGUGACCGGCCACACUGGGACUGAGACACGGCCCAGACUCCUACGGGAGGCAGCAGUAGGGAAUCUUCCGCAAUGGGCGAAAGCCUGACGGAGCGACGCCGCGUGAGCGAAGAAGGCCUUCGGGUCGUAAAGCUCUGUUGUGAGGGACGAAGGAGCGCCGUUCGAAGAAGGCGGCGCGGUGACGGUACCUCACGAGAAAGCCCCGGCUAACUACGUGCCAGCAGCCGCGGUAAUAC
rnacentral:rRNA from 31 species